UCUCCGUAGGUGAACCUGCGGAGGGAUCAUUACAGAGUUCAUGCCCUUCCGAGUAGCUCUCCCACCCUGUGUCAUCGUCACCUGUGUGGCUUUGGCGGGCCGCCCAGGCCUUGGCCGGGCUACCGGCUCCGGCUGGUACGCGCCCGCUAGAGCACUUUAAUCUCUUUGAUAUCAGUGUCGUCUGAGUACUAGGUAAUAGUUAAAACUUUCAACAACGGAUCUCUUGGUUCUG
rnacentral:misc_RNA from 1 species